UACGUAGGUGGCAAGCGUUAUCCGGAUUUAUUGGGCGUAAAGGGAGCGUAGACGGUAGUGCAAGUCUGGAGUGAAAGGCGGGGGCCCAACCCCCGGACUGCUCUGGAAACUGUAUAACUAGAGUGCAGGAGAGGUAAGUGGAAUUCCUAGUGUAGCGGUGAAAUGCGUAGAUAUUAGGAGGAACACCAGUGGCGAAGGCGGCUUACUGGACUGUAACUGACGUUGAGGCUCGAAAGCGUGGGGAGCAA
rnacentral:rRNA from 1 species